GGCUUGUUGAAUAUAAUUUCAAGUCUGACCUGCCCUAUGAUUUAUUAAAUGGCCGCGGUAUACUGACCGUGCAAAGGUAGCAUAAUCAUUAGUUUUUUAAUUGAAAGCUUGUAUGAAAGGUUUGAUGAAAAAUUUACUGUCUCUAUAAAAAUUUAUUAGAAUUUUAUUUUUAGGUUAAAAAGCCUAAAUGUUCAUGGAAGACGAGAAGACCCUAUAGAGUUUUAUACAAGUGUUUUUAAAGGAUUUUAAAGUUAGAAAAAAUUUAUUGAAAAUUUUUGUAUUUUGUUGGGGUGAUAGAAAAAUUAAUAAAACUUUAUUUUAAUAAGAACAUUUAUUUAUGAUUAUUUGAUCCUAUUGUUUAGAUUAAAAGAUCAAAUUACCUUAGGGAUAACAGCGUAAUUUUUUUUAGAGUUCUUAUCGAAAAAAAAGGUUGCGACCUCGAUGUUGGAUUAAAGUUUAUAGUUGGUGAAGAAGCUAAUGGAAUUAGGUCUGUUCGACCUUUAAAAUUUUACAUGAUCUGAGUUUAAACCGGCGUGAG
rnacentral:rRNA from 1 species